UGCAGUGACGGGUUUCCGUGGACUGCCUAUUAGAGGGGCACGGUAAACCUGGUUAUAUAGUUACUCCGAUUGUAGAGGCGAGGAGGGUAACUCCCGGGGUAGUAUUAGAGCUCACUUCACGUCGAACCCCCACGUGAAUGUGUAACUCGGCCAACGCCAAGGAACGGCUUGUUUUAAAAAUAAAAAUGUGUUUCACAUGUAAAUGUUAUAAC
rnacentral:lncRNA from 1 species